UCGCGACCCCAGGUCAGGCGGGGCUACCCGCUGAGUUUAAGCAUAUCAAUAAGCGGAGGAAA
rnacentral:rRNA from 1 species